rnacentral:snoRNA from 1 species
CCGCAGCUAAUUAAGCCGGUCGUGGCCCCUCCCCCCGUGGGGUCCCGGCGUGCCAUGGCUGCGCACAGUGACCCCCCCCGGCUGUGUAGGGCGCCCCACGUCCCCCCCCAAACCGCCGUGGGGCGCCCAAAGGGGCCGGGGGCACAGCC